AAAAAAGUCAGAAGACACCGAAGGUCUGAUGACAGUAGAGUGGUGGGAUCAGACAUGAGCCCAUCUGUCUUUGGCCUGAGGGAAAGAUGGGGACAAAGGAGACCAUGGAGAACCGAGAGACCAUGUGAAGGAGGCCAGGCUAGCCGGCUGGCUGAUGAGACACGUGGCCCAUUGGCCCCAUCACUCCAGUCAACAGC